AGCAGGUAGGAAUCUUUUGCAAUGCGCGCAAGCGUGACAAAGCGAGCCAGAGUGUUUUUCAAUAGAAAAACUUUUGCCAAAUGUAAAAAGUUUGGCGAAUAAGGACUGGGUAAGACUAGUGCCAGCCGCCGCGGUAA
rnacentral:rRNA from 1 species